rnacentral:rRNA from 1 species
AUGUUGGCAGUCAAUCAUUUCUCCAAUCUACAGACUGCUCACCUUCACUGGUUGAACUCGGCUGAUGUUGCUCUCAUUCCGAAGAAGGAUGGUGCUGAGGAUAUUUCCGACUUCCUCCCUAUAAGCCUAAUUCAUGCCAUUGCAAAGAUCAUUGCUAAGAUGAUGUCCAAAAGGCUGGCACCUCAUAUGAACGAUCUGGUCUCUCAAGCUCAAAGUGCUUUCAUCAAGAAGAGAUGUAUCCAUGACAAUUUCAUGUACGUGCGCAACCUUGCCAGACGCUUGCACCGCAACAAGACCCCGGCUCUUUUGUUCACGCUCGACAUCAAGAAAGCGUUUGAUUCGGUGCGGUGGGACUAUCUCCUGGACUUGCUGAACCAUCUUGGUUUCCCACCCCGGUUCCGUGGUUGGGUGUCUGCCCUCUUGUCUACAGCCUCGUCGCGCGUUCUGCUCAAUGGUGUGUAG